rnacentral:rRNA from 1 species
UACGUAGGGUGCGAGCGUUGUCCGGAAUUAUUGGGCGUAAAGAGCUUGUAGGCGGUUUGUCGCGUCUGCUGUGAAAAUCCGAGGCUCAACCCCGGACUUGCAGUGGGUACGGGCAGACUGGAGUGUGGUAGGGGAGACUGGAAUUCCUGGUGUAGCGGUGAAAUGCGCAGAUAUCAGGAGGAACACCAAUGGCGAAGGCAGGUCUCUGGGCCACUACUGACGCUGAGAAGCGAAAGCAUGGGGAGCGAACAGG